UCCGGAACCUACCCGACCUCAAUCUCUACUCUUUUCUCCCCCAACUUUUCCUCUCUGGAACCUAUCCCUCAAGCUCUACUCUUUCCUCCCCUAGUUUUUCCUCUCCAGAUAGAACCAAUCAUCCCAAUCCAGCCAGAGAACCAAUCAUGCAUCAUCAUACACAACAUCUAUUCUCAUGCUCUUGCGCCUUGUCUUAUGGCACUGUUUUUCAUCUCUCUAAGUAACUCUCGGAUCCGUAAUUCGAUUGCAAAAAGGAAUUAGGGCAUUUGAAGCUAGUGAUAAUUAGGACAUUUGAAGGUAGAGGAAGGCAAGAUCGUGGUGGCAGACAAACGGUUAUUCUGCAUUUGGUUUUUGAAAGUUAUUUGCUUUUCGUACCUAAUUUUUCUAUUUCUUGAUUCAAUUUUCUGUUGAGUUUUCCUUGCAAAAUUAGGUUAGAAAUUUAGGUCUGUAAGGCUAAUACACUGAUAUUAAGUGGGUUAUUCUGUUUGUCAUGAGUUUGGAUUGAUUUCAAGCAUUUAGUGUUAUACUUUUCCAGCCAAAAACGUGAAGUCUAAUAAUAUUUGCUAUGUGUUCGCUGUUUUGCCAGAAAGAAACUUUCAAAAUAUAGCUGCCUCAUUUGAAUAGCUGUUUAACUAGUUUUAAUAUUAUUGGUUGAACUUGAAGAUGCUUAAAUUAUGUGCUCCUAAAUAGGGCAACAUUGGGCGAUACUUGAGUGGUUGAUAAUUACGAAGUUCUUGGAUUCGGAUUCGGAUUCGGAUUGUGAUAAGAAACCAAAUAGAGUUUAAGAAACUUUAUUAGUCUAGUUUAAGCAUCUUAUUUUCAACUUUGUUCAUUCUUCAUUUGAUAGCUCUUGGAAUUUGGUUUAUUUGUUCUUCCUUGUAAUUGGAUUUUGGGGUUUUGUUAGGAAGAUAGAGAGUCAUACUAAUAAAGUGCAGUAACAUACUUACAGGAGGGUGAUAUUGUAUGAUUAUAUGUACUAUUGUGAGAAGAUUUGGAACUGAAUUGAUAUGUAUAGUUGUUGAAGAUGGACAUAUUGAAGUAGAAAUCGAAAAUUUUUUAAUUGAACUAUUCAAAAACUAGGAACUAGCACGUGUUUUAGUUCUUACUAAAGGUUUUAAAUGUUACAUCACCAAUAUGUCUUUACUUUCAACCAACUCCAUUUGCGGCAGAACUAAUGUGGCAUGGUGUAGCAAAUAAACUCAAAUUUAGAAUGUGUGACUCUACUAAAAUGGUUUAGAGAUUCAAUGAAAUUUAGUAAUACAACUGUCAAACCAAAUCUUAGUUUGCCCUCAUUCAUGGUAUAUCUCAUUUUUUGAUGUAAGUAAACUUCAAUCAUUCUUAUAUCUUUGGGACAAAGAUGCACCGUUCUUUUAUGAUUGUCAAGCACUGCUCUUUUUUGAGACUACCUUUUUUUCUCAUCUUUAUCCUUUUAGCUUAGGUGACUAGAUUUGGACAGCACAUAAUCAAGUUCAGUGGAGGAUCCUAAUGCUUAAAGAGGAUACAAGGAGGAGAAGAAGAAGGUUUGACCAACUUCUAUAACUGCAUUUUAUGUUAGUUAAGUACUAAGACCUAUGACCAGUUAUAAUAAAUUGAGUCCAUAACUAUAGUUUAGGUUUAUUAAUUGGAGCUAGUACUUAAUAUGUUUUUGUUGUUGUUCAAAUUUAACUUGAAAUGUAGUAAAUAUAUUCCAAUCUUAUCACUUGAAUGCUAGACAUCUUUGGCAACAAUUUAUUGUUUAGAUUUUGCUUUCUCAAUUAUUGGAAUGAAAUUCUAAUUUGUUGCCUGUCUCUAUUAAACAAACUCUUUGCUGCAUUUUCUUGAUAUCAUUGAAAUUACUUAACUUAUUUAAGUAAAUGUUUCAUGCAAAAAUCUGUAAUAUGGUAAGAAGAAUUCUAUUUUAGAUGGAGCGAAACAUUUCCUUUUUUAUUAAAUUAGAAUUUGUUAGAUAGAAUUGUCUUUUAAAUGCUAAUAAACAUUUCUUUUUUUAUUAAAUUAGAAUCUAUUUGAACAUGGACAAAAGAUGGAUAAAUUUGUCACGAUCAAGUGAUGAGUAUAAAGUUGGUUUACAAUAUUUCCUUGAUUUUGCAUUUGCAAAUGGGAGUGUAGGGGAGAUGAUUUUAUGUCCAUGCAUUUGGUGCGGAAAUGGGGUAUUUGUCAUGAAAGGUCAGGCCAAAUCACACUUGAUGUGGAAAGGGUUUAUUAAAGGAUAUACUCAAUGGAUAGCUCAUGGAGAGCUAUCUUUGAAUGUUCUGCAUACAUCUCCUGAUGGCCCUUCAAAUGAAGUUCCUCCACUCAACCUUGUAGAUGAUAUGCAAGGGCUGUUGCAAGAUGCAUUAGUAGUUCUAAACUAGGACCUAGAUAUGGGAGAAAGAUUAGAAAUAGAACGGCCUAAUAAUGAUGCAGAGAAAUUCUACAAUCUAAUAAAUGAUUCAAAGCAGCCCUUUUAUCCAGAUUGCCCACAAUUCUCUAAACUUUCUUUUCUCGUACGCUUAUUGCAUAUUAAGUGUCUCAGCAAAAUGCUUGAUUCCAUAUUCAACACACUUCUUGAUUUGUUGAUGCAAGCACCCCAAAAGGUGUAAAUUUACCCAAUUCCUAUUUUGAAGCAAAAAAGAUAAUGAAAGAACUAGAACUUGGAUAUGAAAAAUAUGACACUUGUCCUAAUAAUUGCACAUUGUAUUAGGGAAAAGAUGAAUCAAAGAUCAAAUGUGACACUUGUAAACAUCUUAGGUGGGUGCCAUCAGAGGAUGAUCCUACUAGUAAAAAACAGAAAGUUCCCCACAAGGUUUUGUGGCACUUUCCACUUAAACCCUGAUUGCAGCGUCUAUUCAUGUUGUCUAAAAUUGCAUCUUUCAUGAAAUGGCAUAUCGAGGGCCGUGCUAAGGAUGGUCACAUGAGACAUCCUACAGAUACUCCAGUUUGGCAAUCAUUUGAUUACCAAAAUCCUGAAUUUGCAAAAGAACCUCGUAAUGUUAGAUUGGGCCUGGUUUCAGAUUGAUUUAAUCCAUUCAUAAACAUGAAUGUGAAUCAUAGUACAUGGCCGGUCGUACUAAUGCCUUAUAAUCUUCCACCAUAGAUAUGUAUGAAACAACCAUACUUUAUGUUGUCACUACUCAUUCCUGGUCCGCAAGCACUUGGGAAUAAUAUUGAUGUUUACCUCUUGUGGUUGAGUUGAAGGAAUUAUAGGACAUAGGUAUGACCACUUAUGAUGCAUCAUCAAAGCAGAAUUUUCAAAUGCGAGUUGCUUUACUGUGGACCAUUAGCAACUUUUGUAGUUUUGCUAAUUUAUCUGGAUGGAGCACUAAAGGUUAUUUGGCAUGUCCAGUCUAUCAUAAGCAAACUGUUUCACAACAUUUAAGGCAUAGUUCAAAAUAGUGUUACAUGGGUCAUCGGCGAUUUCCUGAAAAGUAUCAUCCAUAUUGAAGAGAUAAACAUCACUUUGAUGGAAAGGAAGAACGUGGAGUUGGGCCAUCCCGUUUGACAGGAAAUAUGAUUUUGGAAGAAUUGAGAUCAUAUAAAAUCAAGUUUGGGAAAGAAGUAAAGGAUAACCCUGAAUUACCCUCAAAUGGAAGAAACAAAGCAUUUUUUUUGGACUUGCCAUAUUGGAAGGACAAUUUGUUGCGCCAUUGUCUUGAUGUCUUGCAUAUUGAAAAAAUAUAUGCCAGAUUAUCGUGAGAACAUUGUUGAAUGUAGAUGGAAAGUAUGAUAACUUUAGUGUGUGACGUGAUUUGGAGGAAAUGGGUAUAUGGCCAGGCUUUCAUCCUAUUAUAGAUGAUUCUGAAAGAGCAUACUUGCCUCCAACUUGUUUUCAUUUAAAUAAGAAGGAGAAAGAAUUAUUCUGCAUAAUUCUGAAAAGAGUUAAAGUUCCUAAUGGUUAUUCAGCCACAAUUUCAAAGUCCGUGCACUUGAAGCCUCCUAAACUGUCCAGACUUAAGAGCCAUGACAAUCACAUUUUAAUGCAACAACUGUUACCAUAAUGCUACAAAAAACUUCUUCCAAAAUCGGUGCGGUUUUUCUUAAUAAAGUUAUCCAACUACUUUAGAGAUUUGUGUUCUAAAAUAUUUUGUCCUAGGGAACUUGUUCAAAUGGAAAGUGAAAUUACUAUUGUGCUAUGCCAAUUAGAGCAUGUGUUUCUACCAUCUUUUUUUGUUGUAAUGGUUCAUUUGACCAUUCAUUUAGCAACCAAGGCAAGGAUAGUUGGUCCAGUAUACUAUCGUUGGAUGUAUCCAAUUGAAAGGAAAUUAUCAUAAGUUUAAAAUUUCAUCUUUUUUUUUUCUUAAUGUGAGUAGUCUUAUUAUAACAUAUUAUUUUGUAAUUAUCUCAGAUACCUAUGCACCUUGAAGAAUUAUGGGCCUGUUUGGAACUUGAGUUUUUUGGGAGUUUGUCUAAAACUUUACUGUAGUGCACUGUAGAAGUUUUUAAAAAAAUUUUAUAGAAAUUUUUGUAAGGUGAAAAUUUUUUUUAUAAAAGUUUUUUUAAGGUAAAAAACUUUUUUUUUUCCUUUUCUCUUUCUCUUUCUUUUUCUUUUUCUUUCUUUCCUUUUUCUUUUCUUUCCUCUCUUCUUCUUCUUCUUCUUCCUUCUCCCUUGGUCCCUCCCCCGUCACCUCUGCCUUCUAGUUCCCAGCAGCCAUGGCCCUACCAAUUUUUUUCUUUUCUUUCUUUUUCUCUUUCUUUCCUUUUUCUUUUCUUUCCUCUCUUCUUCUUCUUCUUCUUCCUUCCCCCUCCCUCUUCCCUCCCCCACCACCUCUGCCGGAAUUGAAGAACCAGCAGCCUUGUUCAAUUUUUUUUUCUUUUUCUUUUCCCCUCUUCUCCCCUCUCCCCAUCUACUCCCCUUCACCUUCCCUCUCUCCCUCCCGAAACCAGAGAACCAGCAGUAGGUGGCGUGCACAAUUUUUUUUUUUUGCCUUUUCUCUCCCCUCUUCUCCAUCUCCUUUUUUGUGCAAUGGGUUAUUAGAUUGGGUUCAAGACUGUCGGCGAAUGUUAGUUGCCCUGGGUUGCGUCGGCAGUACGCGAUUGGUGUCGAAGAAAGGGGAGUCGGCGUGUUCUAUGCGGCGGCACAAGAGGUAGCGGCAGUCGUAGCUGCUGUGGGUUGUGAGGGAGAGAGAGUAAGGAGAAAGCGGCGGGUGGCACACGACGAGGGUUGGGCAGCGAGUGUCGGUGGCUGAGGUUUGGCGGCGACUGUGUUAGCGUGGGUGGGGAUGGGUGGCCAGGGAGGGGAAGGGGAGAAGAGGGGGAGAGAGGAGGGAAGGAAAGGGGGAGGGGGAGAGGGAAAGGGAGAAAGGAAGGGAAAAAAAGGAAGGUCACUGCCAGAAUAGGAGGCUAGCGGUGGUGGUCGGCGCCGGAGAUGGUGGUGGGUUGGAAUGGGGGAGGAAGAAGAAAAAAAGGGAAGGAAAUUUUUUUUUGUAUGUGUUUUGUGUAUUUUGACGUGGGUAGAUAAAAAACUUUAAGAAGUUUUUUAGGAUUCCUGUAGCAAAAGUUGUUAAAAAACUUGUAGCUAAAAAACUUGGCCAAAAACUUCACUUCCAAACAGGCCCUAUGUUCGAAAUAGAAGUCGGACUGAUGGUUCAAUUGCAGAAGGGUACCUAAUUGAUGAGUGUAAACCACUGAAAUUUGGGCUAUUUUGUAGUAUUAUGUAAUGAAUUUCUGUUUAGGAGUUGCUUUCUUGUGUGUGAUUUUCACAAACUUUAUAAAAUUGGUAUUUUCAAGGUUGGGGAUGAAGUUACAAUAAGGAGCAUGAUUGAUCCAAACAAAAUUUGGCUGUUGGAGAGGUUAGAAGUUUGGAUCUUAUGGCUAAAGUUGGUGACACACCUUUGGGAUCACAUUGGUGCGAAGUUCAUGUGAAUGUGCUUGUGGAGAGUAAUGAGGAGUUGAUGAGGCCAUACCAUAAUUUCUGUAAGAUAGGAGAUGCAGUUGGAGUGGCUAUUGUUUGGCCAAUAAAUCUGAUACUCUUUUUGUCAUACCUUUACCAUUUGUCUAAUAUAGUUAUUAUUUGUUUUCUAAUGUUAAAACUGUAAAACAAGACUUGUGUGAAUUGUAAUUUGUCUUGUGUGGUUUACGACAGUUGUAGGUGAGUAUUGAAGAAAACUAAAGCAACAUUGGGUCAAGUGCUAGUUUUUUGAAGGCAUCUUCCUCGCUUUGUAGUUGAGUUGCUGCCCGGUGCUUCCUUUAUAUGUACACGACUGAUUUAAAACCAUCUAAAUUAGUAUGUA
rnacentral:lncRNA from 1 species